rnacentral:rRNA from 1 species
CCCUUAGAUGUCCUGGGCUGCACGCGCGCUACACUGAUGUGUCCAGUAAGCACCUAACCUCUUCCGAAAGGAACGGGUAACCUUUGCAAAGCACAUCGUGAUGGGGAUAGAUUAUUGCAAUUAUUAGUCUUGAACGAGGAAUUCCUAGUAAGCACAAGUCAUCAGCUUGUGUUGAUUACGUCCCUGCCCUUUGUACACACCGCCCGUCGCUCCUACCGAUUGAAUGCUCCGGUGAGCUCUUCGGACUGCGCGGUCUGCAGUUUCUGCGUUCCGUGCGGAAAGUUGCGCAAACCUCAACAUUUAGAGGAAGGAGAAGUCGUAACA